UAUUCUUUUUAUUUUCUUUAUUUAAGUGCGGUUAUGUAAGCACAGAGGGGAAUCCUACUGAACAGCUGCCAUGACGCAACUUGAGCACGGUGGACAUCGGAGAUGGAGACAGAUUCUUCAAUAUAUAUAUUGUAUUUGAAA